UACGAGGGGGGCAAGCGUUGUUCGGAAUUAUUGGGCGUAAAGGGCGCGUAGGCGGUGCGGUAAGUCACCUGUGAAAUCUCUCGGCUCAACCGAGAAACGUCGGCUGAUACUGCCGUUCUUGAGGGAUGCAGAGGAGACUGGAAUUCCCGGUGUAGCGGUGAAAUGCUUAGAUAUGACAUAGAACACCAAUUGCGAAGGCAGCUCACUACACAAUCAUUGACGCUGAGGCACGAAAGCGUGGGGAUCAAACAGG
rnacentral:rRNA from 1 species